rnacentral:tRNA from 1 species
AGUAAAGUAAGCUAGACAAAGCUUUUGGGCCCAUACCCCAAGAACGUUGGUGAGACCCCCACCUUUACUU